rnacentral:rRNA from 1 species
AUUGAACGCUAGCGGCAUGCCUUACACAUGCAAGUCGAACGGCAGCACGGGAGCUUGCUCCUGGUGGCGAGUGGCGAACGGGUGAGUAAUACAUCGGAACGUACCCAGGAGUGGGGGAUAACGUAGCGAAAGUUACGCUAAUACCGCAUAUUCUGUGAGCAGGAAAGCGGGGGAUCGCAAGACCUCGCGCUCUUGGAGCGGCCGAUGUCGGAUUAGCUAGUUGGUGAGGUAAAAGCUCACCAAGGCGACGAUCCGUAGCAGGUCUGAGAGGAUGAGCUGCCACACUGGGUCUGAGAAACGGCCCAGACUCCUACGGGAGUCAGCAGUGGGGAAUUUUGGACAAUGGGGGCAACCCUGAUCCAGCCAUGCCGCGUGAGUGAAGAAGGCCUUCGGGUUGUAAAGCUCUUUCGGCGGGGAGGAAAUGGCAACGGCUAAUAUCCGUUGUUGAUGACGGUACCCGCAUAAGAAGCACCGGCUAACUACGUGCCAGCAGCCGCCGUAA